rnacentral:lncRNA from 1 species
GGGGGGGAGAUGGGUGGGAGUUGGGGGAGGGGGGAGGGAUGGAGUGGGCGGGGAGGGGCGGGGACGGUGUGAGCCCGAGGCUGGGAGCUAGCGUCUGGGGACGCUAGCAGGUCCGGCUGCCUCCAGGCUCCGGAGUUCCUGGGGAGAAAGUUACGCUGGAAAUGUGACUCUGCCGGGGGUGGGGUCAGUCCCUGGGCUCCGGGAGGUUUUCCGGGGGCGGGCAAGGGUGCUGCUCUCGGGAUCCCCUUCCUGCUUGGCUCCUCCUCCUCCUCCUCCCCUUCCUUGAGACGACCAUUUUGGGGAGGGGGAUCUGGAAGCCGGCUCGGGCUGCGUUUCCACGGGAGUCGAGAGCAGCUGCCUGUCUGGAUCCUUCCCGGGGGGGGGGGGGACAGGGGAGGGUCACAAUUUCUUGAUUUCAGUAUUCGUUUUUACCGUUCCACCCUUCACUUCUGUCUCCAGCCCCGCACCCCUCUCGUAUCGCAACGGGCGCUUGGGCUGCGCCACCUGCCGUGUAGACCCGUCGAGAAGCCAGUGCGGGUGAAAUGCUCGGACCUCCGCAGAGAGCAGUUUUAAGAGGCCAGAUUGAGGAGUUCCCGCAGUGGCUCAGCGGAACUGACCCGACUAGUAUCCAUGAGGUUGCGGCUUCGAUCCCUGGCCUCGCUCAGUGGGUGAAGGAUCUGGCGUUGCCCUGAGCCGUGGAGUAGGUCGCAGAUGCAUCUCGGAUCCUGCCUUGCUGUGGCUGUGGUGUAGGCCGGCAACUGUAGCUCCGAUUCGCCCCCUAGCCUGGGAACCUCCAUAUGUGCAAGUUCGGCCCUAAAAAGCAAAAAACAAGGGGUGGGGGGCAAGUUGAAGGGAAAGUGACCGAGUCGUCAGGAUGAAAGCCCCUUGAUCUGAAUAAGUUGCACGGUUUGUCUUUCGUGGUCUCUCGGGAAGGCUGGUUCCCCAGGAGCUCCAGGCACAGAUGGGGGUGUGUUUCAUCUGCCACAUGUGGCAGUUUUCCUGCCACCUGCCCACCGAGCUGGCCCAGAAUCAUGCCUUCUGACUCUUUUUCC